ensembl:snRNA U6 U6 spliceosomal RNA
GUGUUCACUUUAGCAGCACAUGUACUAAAAUCAGAACACUACAGAGAAGAUUAGCAUGGCCCCUGUGCAAGGAUGACAUGCAAAUUCAUAAAGCAUUCCAUAUUUUU